UGGAUGAACACAAGGUCUUAGUCCUAAGA
rnacentral:piRNA from 1 species